UGGGGAAUUUUGGACAAUGGGCGCAAGCCUGAUCCAGCCAUGCCGCGUGCAGGAUGAAGGCCUUCGGGUUGUAAACUGCUUUUGUACAGAACGAAAAGACUCUGGUUAAUACCUGGGGUCCAUGACAGUACCGUAAGAAUAAGCACCGGCUAACUACGUGCCAGCAGCCGCGGUAAUACGUAGGGUGCGAGCGUUAAUCGGAAUUACUGGGCGUAAAGCGUGCGCAGGCGGUUAUGUAAGACAGAUGUGAAAUCCCCGGGCUCAACCUGGGAACUGCAUUUGUGACUGCAUAGCUAGAGUACGGCAGAGGGGGAUGGAAUUCCGCGUGUAGCAGUGAAAUGCGUAGAUAUGCGGAGGAACACCGAUGGCGAAGGCAAUCCCCUGGGCCUGUACUGACGCUCAUGCACGAAAGCGUGGGGAGCAAACA
rnacentral:rRNA from 1 species